ensembl:snRNA U6 U6 spliceosomal RNA
GUGCUUGCUUUAGUAGCACAUAUACUAACAUUGGAAUGCUACAAAGAUUAGCAUGUCCCCUGCACAAGGAUUACAUACAAAUUUGUGAAGCAUUCUAAAUUUUU